rnacentral:lncRNA from 1 species
AAGAACUUGAUUUGAUUUCCAUUCAUGCCUAAACGGGUCUCUAAAAUCUAUGUGUGAACACUUCUUUCAUUAGAUUUCUUUAGUUUUUUCCGACCCUUCAUUUGCUCUAUCUAGAAAAUCAAAAGAUGAAGCUUCCGAGUUUUUUUCUCACCGUGUCAUUUACUCAGGGUAGGAAAUUCAAAGAUGGUGUCUUUCAUGUGACUUUUAUCUGCAUGUUGGAGAUUAUUUAUACCUACCCACCCACCGACCCACUCAUAGACAGACAGAUAGCAAAAAUGCAUUUCCCUUGCUCAACAUCAUCAUCAUCUUCUCUUUUCACCAUUUUCUGCUUGCUCUUGGUUAUAAUCUCCUUGUUUCUUCCAGGGGCCUCGGCUCGAAUACAUGCGAUAGUAGGCAAGUGAUUUUUCUUUUUGGUGCUUUGAGCUUUCAGUGAGGGUGAGGGACAUGAUUUGAAGAUCGUGAUUCCAUGAAACUGUAGUUGACAUGGCAUGACACGGGAACAUAGAGAAAGUUUUAUACAUCAUGCUAUUAUCAUUGAAUAUCUUCUUUGCAUAUGCAGCAAUAUAUACACCGGGAAGUCGUGCUCCUCCUGCCAACGGGUGUGAGUCCUCUUAUUACUCCAUAUCUUGAACCUUUCCAUCAUGUUGUCUGCCUCUAUAAAGGUUGAUAUAUCCAUGAAUCAUUCAUUAUAAAUCAUAUUAGGCUCGCCUGAAAGCACUACAACCGUAAUUCAUCGGAUAUUCUCUAGUCAUAUAAUCAUGUAACAUGUCAAAUUUCGUUUGUGUGUUGGAUGAUUAAUGAUACUCCAUGAAAUUUCAUUCCCACAAACGCAGUAUGUGCAUAUGUGUAAUUUCUUAUUAUAGCAAGAAUUAGUAACAAAAUCUUGGUGCUCUAUGCUGACACUGAUCGUGUACUUAUUUGCGUAGCAUGGUUGCAACAACUUGGUCAAUAAGGUUUUUUGAAGUUAAAUAUGUGGGGAAAAAAUUAUGGUAAUUUCAUCAUUUUGUCAAUAAUAUCUCUGUAAUAUUCAAAUUAGUUACAAAAUAAAUGUGUAUCCCAUGAUUAAUAUUUGUCCGUAUCCCAUUACUAACAGAGUCUGAAAAUGAGGAUGGGGUGUGGUUAUGAGCUAUGAAAAAUUAGUCCCACAUUCUCAAUUGAAAAAGAAAAAGUAGAAAAAGGACAGUCUCUCCUCAUCUACUUAACCGAAAAUUAAUUGCGUUUCUUCUAGCGAGACUCAUUCCUUCAUUUCCGUCUAUUUUAAACAUGGUUGCAGACACACCGGCACCGCCUUGAACAAACAACAUGUUGGUUGUUCCAGAUCCCAUCAAGUAAAGAAGAACUUUGUCGCUUGUGAUCGCGAUAUAUAUGUAAUAUGUCAUAAUACUCUUAGUAUGGUCUUGGAGUAGCAUAAUUAUUUCAAAUGCUUGUAUUCCGCACAUCAUCUUCGAGACGUUCUCAUGCGUAGACUUGUCUUGACACUAGUGAAAUAUAAAGAAAUAAAUGUCAUAGUUUAAUCUUGGAUAA